rnacentral:rRNA from 1 species
GAUGAACGCUGGCGGCAUGCCUAAUACAUGCAAGUCGAACGAGAGGAAGGAAAGCUUGCUUUUCUGAAUCUAGUGGCGGACGGGUGAGUAACACGUAGGUAACCUGCCCAUGUGCCCGGGAUAACUUCUGGAAACGGAUGCUAAAACCGGAUAGGUAGCAGACAAGCAUUUGACUGCUAUUAAAGUGGCUAAGGCCAUGAACAUGGAUGGACCUGCGGUGCAUUAGCUAGUUGGUGAGGUAACGGCCCACCAAGGCGACGAUGCAUAGCCGGCCUGAGAGGGCGGACGGCCACAUUGGGACUGAGACACGGCCCAAACGCCUACGGGAGGCAGCAGUAGGGAAUUUUCGUCAAUGGGGGGAACCCUGAACGAGCAAUGCCGCGUGAGUGAGGAAGGUCUUCGGAUCGUAAAGCUCUGUUGUAAGAGAAAAACGACAUUCACAGGGAAUGAUGAGUGAGUGAUGGUAUCUUACCAGAAAGUCACGGCUAACUACGUGCCAGCCGCCGCCGUAAUAC